rnacentral:rRNA from 1 species
AGAGUUUGAUCAUGGCUCAGGACGAACGCUGGCGGCGCGCUUAACACAUGCAAGUCGAACGGAGACCGCAACCCGAAGUUUUCGGAUGGAGGGAUGCGAUUUCAGUGGCGAACGGGUGAGUAACACGUGAGGAACCUGCCCUGAAGAGGGGGAUAACACUUAGAAAUAGGUGCUAAUACCGCAUAAGGCCACGGAGCCGCAUGGCUCAGCGGUCAAAGGAGCAAUCCGCUUUGGGAUGGACUCGCGUCCGAUUAGCUAGUUGGUGAGGUAACGGCCCACCAAGGCGACGAUCGGUAGCCGGACUGAGAGGUUGUACGGCCACAUUGGGACUGAGACACGGCCCAGACUCCUACGGGAGGCAGCAGUGGGGAAUAUUGGGCAAUGGGGGAAACCCUGACCCAGCGACGCCGCGUGAGGGAAGAAGGUUUUCGGAUUGUAAACCUCUGUCUUCGGGGACGAAACAAAUGACGGUACCCGAGGAGGAAGCCACGGCUAACUACGUGCCAGCAGCCGCGGUAAAACGUAGGUGGCAAGCGUUGUCCGGAAUUACUGGGUGUAAAGGGAGCGCAGGCGGAAAAGCUAGUCAAGUGUGAAAUGUAUGGGCUCAACCCAUAAAUUGCGCUUGAAACUGUUUAUCUUGAGUGGAGUAGAGGCAGGCGGAAUUCCCGGUGUAGCGGUGGAAUGCGUAGAUAUCGGGAGGAACACCAGUGGCGAAGGCGGCCUGCUGGGCUCUAACUGACGCUGAGGCUCGAAAGCGUGGGUAGCAAACAGGAUUAGAUACCCUGGUAGUCCACGCUGUAAACGAUGAUUACUAGGUGUGGGGGGACUGACCCCUUCCGUGCCGGAGUUAACACAAUAAGUAAUCCACCUGGGGAGUACGGCCGCAAGGUUGAAACUCAAAUGAAUUGACGG